GCUAAGAUCAAGUGUAAUAUCUGUUCUUAUCAGUUUAAUAUCUGAUAUGUGGGAGUAAGCCCACUAAGAUAGCUUGCUAUCUGAGUUUUCGCGAGUCGCCCAUGCGUUGCACUAUUGCAUGGGUCUGGCUCAGCCCACCAACUUCAAAGUUUUGAAUCUUUAUACUAUGUUACUCAAAUGAAUAUAUAUAAAGAUCUUUAAUUAAAAAUGAAGAGCACUACUAUUGUUCAAAAAUUAGGUUUGAUGAAAAAUAGUUUAAUUGGGUUGACUCUGAAAUUGGGCCUUAGAUAGAAAAAUCUUUAUAAGAGAAGGAAAGAAAUGAGUAAUGUCCAACAUCGACUCUAAUAUUACUAUAGAGUGAAGAAAAUUAUGAAGAAUAGAAGACAACUAGACAUUUUUCUUUUUAGUUUAACCAAAAAAAAAUUGAUCACAGUAGACCCAUAAGACAUAAAGAAGGAAUGAAAGUGAUAUCAUCACAAUUCAGCCCCAUAAUUCAUUCUUAAAAAGGAGUAAUUUCUUUCUAAACUAGUGUGUCGUUUUUGACCAAAAGUGGUGAGUUCGUCAUUAAUAGCUGGUGGUGCCAUGUUUGUUUAUAAAAUAACCUAUUUGAUCGUACGGAGGAUUGAGUAACAUAGUUUUUUUUAUGUUAUGCAAUAGGGAAAUGUUGGUUACCAAAAAUAGAUUGAAAUUACUCGUGAAAGUUCAAACGAUAUAGUCCAAAGUAGAAAUUAAAGAUGAAGAAGACACACCCCUCGUGUUUACAUUUCUUUCUCGAUUUAAGAAACGUUGUUUCUUCUCUUGGAAUUCGAAUUCUGCAACAACAUAUCAUAUACAAUUAAGUGGAAUAUCUUGAUUGUUUGAUGGAAUAUCUCAAAUCUUGUGGACCAGAACGUACCAGUUAACUAUACUCCAUGUUCAAAAACUCGGCCGUCUAGCCAUGAAUCAGUUGGCUCUUUCACGCAGCUUAUACUCCUCAAGGCUAAAUACAGCGACAUACCAACGCUCAUGUUUCUCGUAAUUGCAAACGCGGUUGCGGGUGGUUAUUUGGUUCUCUCUACCUGAGACGGCUGAGUGUAUAUGUAAUCAAGGUGGGCAUCCGACGUCGUUUUCAUCAAACAUUCCUCUGUUUCACACUUCUUCUCCAUCUCCUUCAAAGAAUUAAAAUAACUCAUGUUAAAUUUUGUUUGAUUUUCAUCAAACGAUUUACUUUGAUUUCAAGAACAUUGAACUUACUUUCUUUUAUGAGAAAAAUGAAUUACCGAGUUAUAAAAAUGAAUCUACUGGGUUGUUAGAGAAAAAAGCUAGAAAAAUACACUUGAUAAAUACAAUUUUUAUUUUCGCUAUUAUAAAUUUUUCAAAUGCAUUAGAUUUGUGAAAAGUAGUAAUUUUUUUUUCCAAUAUUUUGAUUAUUUUUGCAAACAAAUAUCGAAAUGUUUAGAAAUUAUAUAUAGCUUCUAAAGAAAUAUU